UACGUAGGGUGCAAGCGUUGUCCGGAAUUAUUGGGCGUAAAGAGCUCGUAGGCGGUUUGUUGCGUCGGCUGUGAAAUCCCGAGGCUCAACCUCGGGUCUGCAGUCGAUACGAGCAAACUAGAGUGUUGCAGGGGAGACUGGAAUUCCUGGUGUAGCGGUGAAAUGCGCAGAUAUCAGGAGGAACACCGGUGGCGAAGGCGGGUCUCUGGGCAACAACUGACGCUGAGGCACGAAAGCGUGGGGAGCAAACAGG
rnacentral:rRNA from 1 species